UCCCCUUGCUUCUGACCGGGAGCUCCAUGCCCUGCCUAGCCUGUUCCUGCGUCCUUGCUGCAGUCCCCAGGGUCAUCCUCUCUCACUCUGGUCCCUCUGCCUGUCCUCACCUGCACAUCGACACCAGGCUGACUGUAGCUUUGCCUGGGCAGAUCCAGCUUGAGAAAUUCACUCCCAACAGCUCACAGAACUACGUCAAGCUGCUCCCUGAAGACUUCUGCCAGUCCUCCUGUGUGGUGAUUUCUGCUGAUUUGGAGCGCGCUGGCUCCUGCCUGAUGGGAUGAGCACUGUGCUGCAGUCUGCUUCUCUGUCCCUUUCCCCUUCCCCUUUCUCCUGUCGGCUUCCCUGGCUUGUGUUCUGAUACUGUCUCUCUACCUUCAUAUGCUGUUUCCUACCCACCACCCAUCCAUUCACGUCGUGGGCUGUGUUUGGGGUCCUGGGGAUAUGAACGUGGCAAUUUGGGGUACACUCUGCCCUUCUGCCUCAAUUCAAGGCAAUCCAAGUCAUAUUCUACCUUCAGGACUCAAUUUAACCCUCUUCUUCCCAAAGGUUGCUUGACUCAGGAAAGCAGGACCUCAGGAACACCAGCUGUCCUCUCCAUGCCCUUCUCCUAGUAAAGACAAGGCCUUCCUGUGGACCGACAGCCACCAAGAUAGAUGCAGACAUGCCUCGGUCUGAUCUGAGGCCAAUGGGAGAAGGAAACUCCCACAAACUACAGGGCGCCUCGAUUUCCCACUAGUGUUAAAUGGCCAUAGCAGAGCAUAACCCGUGGCUUCAAUUUGGUCUGUCAAAGACGGAAUUAGAAGUAAAUCUGAAAUUUCACAACAUGGUUCUAUUAUGGAUGCUACUGUGCAUUAAAAUUGUCUACAUAAGA